GCUACGAGGCUUAAUGUGACGAAAGCCCAGCCACUUCAAUGUUCUUGUGACAAUAUGCUUCGAUGGCUGUGGUGAUGGCACGACGGCGUGCUUCAACGGCCACGAUGCUGCUGCAAUUGUACCUUGGCUACUUAGAUGUUGCGAUGAAACACUUUGGUUGGAGAGGUGUGCGUUGAUUGUCAUAGGAUGUUACCACAACAACAUGUCUGCGUCAAUGAUGUUGUGAUGGCCUGCUUUGAUGGCAACAAUGGGUGCUUCGGUAGCCGUGGUGAUGCUAUGACGACAACAGGACUAAUUUAAUGAUGUUGCAAUGACGGGUUUCAGUUUACAUGACAGUGUUGCAAUGAACCGCAAUGACGGUAUGCUUUGAAUGAUCACGACAAUGUUGUCACCGCGUGCUUCGAUGGUGACGACGGGUGCUUCGGUACCCAUGGUGAAGGUACUACGACAUGCUUCAAACGGUCACGGAGAUGUUGUGAUCGCGUGUUUUGUUGACCGCAACGAUGCUUUGAUGAAGUCCUGGCUGCUUCGACCGUGUUGCGACUAUGUGCUUCCUUGUUGUGGUAGUGCUGCAACGAUGGCACGGCUGUUCUGACGAUGCUAUGAUGGGCUGCACCACGACUGCUAUGAUAACAAUGCGAUGGCUGCACCCUGAUUGCUAUGAUAACGAUGCGAUGAUAUCUAUGCUUUGACGACCAGGGCGGUGGCAGAGGCAUUAAGGAUUACUACCCUAAGCAUUGCUAUAUCCAAGCAACCAUGGCACCAUGAGCUUGCUAGUAUCGAAUCCAACAAACACCCAUGGUCAAGAAUAUGGUGUUUUGGAAUCUUUGUUUGCUACUUGCUACAUGCUUCCUCUUCAGGUUACUUGUAGCAUCACGUACAUGCGUAGUUACCUGGGUAAACCAUAUGAAAAAAUAGAAGUGGAAUGGAAUUGUUAAAUAGUCACUGGGACCACUUAGCUUCAAGCUUGUGUCUAGCUACAACCACAGCUACGCGGUCAGAAUCAGAUGGGUCAGAAGCUUCGCAUGGACACAAGCGAUCGAACGGCGCCGAACGUGGCUGAUGAAACCAACAAAUCGGAUCGGCUGAUGAAACCAACAAAUCAUCCGAUUGAUUUUAAACACUUUUCUUUAAAUAGGGAUGGCUUCAUUCAACUAGGGUCAUAAGAGCAACUCGGACGCUUUUGUUCGUUUUUUGUCUGUUUGGGUCGGCCGGCAGCCCGACGUCCGCCCUGUUUUAGAUUUGGGCCGGCACUGGCCCAACAUGCUUACCCAUAUGUGCCGGUGUGGCCGGUUGGUUCAUUUUUUGCAUUGCUUUUGCAUUCAAAUAUAUAGCUUCGAUCGAAUAAAAUAGCAUAGUUUUACAAGUCAAAUAAAAGUAAAAAUGUCUCGCA